GACGAACGCUGGCGGCGUGCUUAACACAUGCAAGUCGAACGGAAAGGCCCUGCUUUUGUGGGGUGCUCGAGUGGCGAACGGGUGAGUAACACGUGAGUAACCUGCCCUUGACUUUGGGAUAACUUCAGGAAACUGGGGCUAAUACCGGAUAGGAGCUCCUGCUGCAUGGUGGGGGUUGGAAAGUUUCGGCGGUUGGGGAUGGACUCGCGGCUUAUCAGCUUGUUGGUGGGGUAGUGGCUUACCAAGGCUUUGACGGGUAGCCGGCCUGAGAGGGUGACCGGCCACCUGGGGCCUGAGAUACGGCCCAGACUCCUACGGGAGGCAGCAGUGGGGAAUAUUGCACAGUGGGCGGAAGCCUGAUGCAGCAACGCCGCGUGCGGGAUGACGGCCUUCGGGUUGUAAACCGCUUUCGCCUGUGACGAAGCGUGAGUGACGGUAAUGGGUAAAGAAGCACCGGCUAACUACGUG
rnacentral:rRNA from 1 species